GACGAACGCUGGCGGCGUGCUUAACACAUGCAAGUCGAACGGAAAGGCCCUGCUUUUGUGGGGUGCUCGAGUGGCGAACGGGUGAGUAACACGUGAGUAACCUGCCCUUGACUUUGGGAUAACUUCAGGAAACUGGGGCUAAUACCGGAUAGGAGCUCCUGCUGCAUGGUGGGGGUUGGAAAGUUUCGGCGGUUGGGGAUGGACUCGCGGCUUAUCAGCUUGUUGGUGGGGUAGUGGCCUACCAAGGCUUUGACGGGUAGCCGGCCUGAGAGGGUGACCGGCCACAUUGGGACUGAGAUACGGCCCAGACUCCUACGGGAGGCAGCAGUGGGGAAUAUUGCACAAUGGGCGGAAGCCUGAUGCAGCAACGCCGCGUGCGGGAUGACGGCCUUCGGGUUGUAAACCGCUUUCGCCCGUGACGAAGUGUGAGUGACGGUAAUGGGUAAAGAAGCACCGGCUAACUACGUG
rnacentral:rRNA from 1 species